AGAGGCUCAGGCCGCCCAGCGGGACGCGGGAUCGGGUGUGGUGUUCUGAGUCAUGAAGCCCUGCAGAGGGAGAGGCGGGCACUACUGAGAUUCUGUAGUCUGCUAGGCCCAGCACCACUUCCGGGGCUCUGCAGGCCGUCAAAUGCAGUUCUGGUUCUUAGGAGAGCUAUGGAGUCACGCCAACCACGAAGAAGCUUUUCUACCAGUUCUUUAAGGUCCUGGAAGCAGAGGGAGCAGUGUGAGAACAGGUAUCAGCCCUGCCUGGGAUGGUGGAGGUAAAAUCCUGCUUCGAGUAGGAGGUGGCCCAUGGGCAGCUGUCGGAAAAGUGCCAGUCAGGGACGCUGCCAGGAGAGCUACUCCACGCAGGCUGUUGCCACCUGCUCUGGAACUCAGGAAGUGGGAGAUGAUGAGUCAGAGUACAUUCCCUCAGUAACAACAGGGCAAGACUCCUCCCAGGUCAGGCUCUCCGGUGCCCUGCUGAAUCCCAAGCCUCCCUAAGCCAAGCCUUCACUAGUUGCCAUGCCAACCCCCAGGAGACACACUCAGCCUAGGAGUCCCAGGUGGGGUGGGCAGCGCCUUGCGAAGGAAUGGACAGGUGGAGGUGUGAGAAUGCAGGGGGCAAGGGCGCUUGGAAGAGCCAGUGGGCAAGUGAGAUUACCCAGGGCCCAGAGGCAAAACAGAACACUGAUGUGGCCCUAGUCCCUAGCAGCUGGUGCCACUGGAAGCACAUCAACCCACUGGGACCUAGAACAGCAGGGUGCUGGGGGAGGAGUUCGCUGUCAUUAAUGUCACCCCAUCUCAGCUGAGUAGUGGUCCUCUGUGGCCAGGGACACAAGAAGGAGAGAAGGAUCCCUGCUCCAUCACCACUGGAGCUGGCCUUGGCUAUUAGAGAAUGACCGGAAGACAGAAGCGAGUAUUCCAUAGUGGAGCCACUACAGACACGCUGGGUGGCAACUUUUGAAGAUUGGCCUAUUGACAGGAGCCGGCCCAGUCCCAGUGCUGUGGUCAUCCCAAACCACUCACCUAGUUAUAGAUGUUGUUAGGGACUUAUCUAUUAUUCAUCAUAAUAAAAAAGCAAAUCUUUAAAAAUACUUCUUAAGUUGAGAGGCAUCUAAAAACCCAGCUCAAGUGACAGGCGAGGUGGCAGAGAGUAAAACCUCAGUGACCUAAGAGCGGCCUCUGUGUGAGAGGCCGGUUGGUAGAAAGGACCCAGAUGUCUAGAGAUACUUGAGCCAGGGUUCUCUGUGGCUACUGAAGGUCUCCUGUGAACCCUGAAUUCUACUCAGAUUCCGUCUCCCUAUUAGGUACCUUCCCAAGCAGCUCCAAAGCAUGUGACGUCCCUGGCUCUGCUGCACUGCCGCCCCGCCCUGUGCUCAUAUAACCCUGUCCAGAUCCAACCCCACUGAAUCCUCAGCUACAGCUCUGACUCUUGCAAAGAAUUAACCAACACCUGGGGCCACAUGACUUAACCAACCCAGUGAAUGAGGAGCCCAGGGCUGCCCCAGACCGGGCCAGGACCAGCAUGCUGGUACUGUGACCAUCAUCAGUCCCAAGCUCCUCUGUGCGACAUGACCAAAUCCACAAGAGAAAGUUAUUUCUUGUGUCUUUU